AGGGUUCGAUUAUGGCUCAGGAUGAACGCUGGCGGCGUGCUUAACACAUGCAAGUCGAACGGGAUCCCAGGAGCUUGCUCCUGGGUGAGAGUGGCGAACGGGUGAGUAAUGCGUGACCGACCUGCCCCAUACACCGGAAUAGCUCCUGGAAACGGGUGGUAAUGCCGGAUGCUCCAGUUGGAUGCAUGUCCUUCUGGGAAAGAUUCAUCGGUAUGGGAUGGGGUCGCGUCCUAUCAGCUUGAUGGCGGGGUAACGGCCCACCAUGGCUUCGACGGGUAGCCGGCCUGAGAGGGCGACCGGCCACAUUGGGACUGAGAUACGGCCCAG
rnacentral:rRNA from 1 species